rnacentral:rRNA from 1 species
CCUACGGGGGGCAGCAGUGAGGAAUAUUGGUCAAUGGACGCAAGUCUGAACCAGCCAUGCCGCGUGCAGGAUGACGGCUCUAUGAGUUGUAAACUGCUUUUGUACGAGGGGAAACCCCGAUACGUGUAUCGGGUUGAAAGUAGCGUACGAAUAAGGAUCGGCUAACUCCGUGCCAGCAGCCGCGGUAAUACGGAGGAGCCGAGCGUUAUCCGGAUUUAUUGGGUUUAAAGGGUGCGUAGGCGGUUUGAUAAGUUAGAGGGGAAAUGUCGGGGCUCCACCCCGAAACUGCCUCUCAUACUGUUGGCCUAGAGCAUAGUUGCGGUAGGCGGCAUGUUUGCUGUCGC